GAUGAACGCUGGCGGCGUGCCUAAUACAUGCAAGUCGAGCGAACAGACGAGGAGCUUGCUCCUCUGACGUUAGCGGCGGACGGGUGAGUAACACGUGGAUAACCUACCUAUAAGACUGGGAUAACUUCGGGAAACCGGAGCUAAUACCGGAUAAUAUAUUGAACCGCAUGGUUCAAUAGUGAAAGACGGUUUUGCUGUCACUUAUAGAUGGAUCCGCGCCGCAUUAGCUAGUUGGUAAGGUAACGGCUUACCAAGGCGACGAUGCGUAGCCGACCUGAGAGGGGGAUCGGCCACACUGGAACUGGGACACGGUCCAGACUCCUACGGGGGGCAGCAGUAGGGAAUCCUCCGAAAUGGGCGAAAGCCUGACGGGGCAACGCCGGGGGAGGUAUGAAGGUUUUCGGAUCGUAAAACUCUUUUAUUAGGGAAAAACAAAUGUGUAAGUAACUAUGCACGUCUUGACGGUACCUAAUCAGAAAGCCACGGCUAACUACGU
rnacentral:rRNA from 1 species